UUAACUAAAACCAAAAUUAGCGGUAAAUUAUUGUUAAUAAUUUUAAUGAAAAUUAAUCCUUCUAGUUGAA
rnacentral:tRNA from 1 species